rnacentral:rRNA from 1 species
GAUGAACGCUGGCGGCGUGCCUAAUACAUGCAAGUCGAGCGAACAGACGAGGAGCUUGCUCCUCUGACGUUAGCGGCGGACGGGUGAGUAACACGUGGAUAACCUACCUAUAAGACUGGGAUAACUUCGGGAAACCGGAGCUAAUACCGGAUAAUAUAUUGAACCGCAUGGUUCAAUAGUGAAAGACGGUUUUGCUGUCACUUAUAGAUGGCUCCGCGCCGCAUUAGCUAGUUGGUAAGGUAACGGCUUACCAAGGCAACGAUGCGUAGCCGACCUGAGAGGGUGAUCGGCCACACUGGAACUGAUACACGGUCCAGACUCCUACGGGAGGCAGCAGUAGGGAAUCCUCCGCAAUGGGCGAAAGCUUGACGGAGCAACGCCGCGUGAGUGAUGAAGGUCUUCGGAUCGUAAAACUCUGUUAUUAGGGAAGAACAAAUGUGUAAGUAACUAUGCACGUCUUGACGGUACCUAAUCAGAAAGCCACGGCUAACUACGUG